AGCUCCAGUAGCGUAUAUUAAAGUUGUUGCAGUUAAAAAGCUCGUAGUUGGAUUUCUGGUGUGACGCGCCUGGCCCGUCAAGUUCGCUUGGUCGAGUGCUGGUCGUGCGUCCGCCAUUCUUCUAGGGUGGGUAUGCUGCCGUUUAUUCGGUUGGUGUAUUUGCCUCUAGAUCGUUUACUUUGAAGAAAUUAGAGUGUUUAAAGCAGACUACCGUCUUGAAUACAUUAGCAUGGAAUAAUAAUAUAGGACUUCGGCCUAUUUUGUUGGUUUCUAGGACUGAAGUAAUGAUUGAUAGGGAUAGUUGGGGGUGCUAGUAUUCAGCGGCCAGAGGUGAAAUUCUUGGAUUCGCUGAAGACUAACUUAUGCGAAAGCAUUCACCAAGGAUGUCUUCUUUAAUCAA
rnacentral:rRNA from 1 species